UACGUAGGGUGCAAGCGUUGUCCGGAAUUAUUGGGCGUAAAGAGCUCGUAGGCGGUUUGUCACGUCGGCUGUGAAAACCCGAGGCUUAACCUCGGGCCUGCAGUCGAUACGGGCAGACUAGAGUGCUGUAGGGGAGACUGGAAUUCCUGGUGUAGCGGUGAAAUGCGCAGAUAUCAGGAGGAACACCGGUGGCGAAGGCGGGUCUCUGGGCAGUAACUGACGCUGAGGAGCGAAAGCGUGGGGAGCAAACAGG
rnacentral:rRNA from 1 species